rnacentral:tRNA from 1 species
GCUCGAAUGGUGGAAUGGUAGACACGAAGGACUUAAAAUCCUUUGAUCAGUAAUGAUUGUGCGGGUUCAAGUCCCGCUUCGAGUA